UCAUCUGACCGACGUUUCGACCCUACAGGGUCUUCCUCAAGAUGAUCAAGAUCUUGAGGAAGACCCUGUAGGGUCGAAACGUCGGUCAGAUGAUGUAACA